rnacentral:tRNA from 2 species
GCCCCUGUAUUCCAAUGGCAGAGAAGGGCGACUUAAAAUCGCUACAGUGUGGGUUCGAGUCCCACCAGGGGCA